UUGGGAAUCUUGCACAAUGGGGGAAACCCUGAUGCAGCGACGCCGCGUGGAGGAUGAAGGGUCUAGGCCUGUAAACUCCUUUUCUCGGGAAAGACUUAGGACGGUACCCGAGGAAUAAGGACCGGCUAACUACGUGCCAGCAGCCGCGGUAAGACGUAGGGUCCAAGCGUUGUCCGGAUUUACUGGGCGUAAAGCGCGCGUAGGCGGUCUGUUAAGUGCACAAGUGAAAGCUCCGGGCUCAACUCGGAAAUUGCUUUGCAUACUGGCAGGCUGGAGGGACGCAGAGGUCUGUGGAAUUCCUGGUGUAACGGUGAAAUGUGUUGAUAUCAGGAGGAACACCCAUGGCGAAGGCAGCAGACUGGGCGUUUCCUGACGCUGAGGCGCGAAAGCGUGGGUAGCAAACA
rnacentral:rRNA from 1 species